rnacentral:rRNA from 1 species
AACGGAGCAAGUUUGUAGCAAUAUGAGCUUGCUUAGUUGCGGACGGGUGAGUAACGCGUGAGCAAUCUGCCUUUGUGAGGGGGACAACAGCCGGAAACGGCUGCUAAUACCGCAUGAGACCACAGCUUCGAGUGGAGCAGGGGUCAAAGAUUUAUCGCACAAAGAUGAGCUCGCGUCCCAUUAGCUAGUUGGUGAGGUAACGGCCCACCAAGGCGACGAUGGGUAGCCGACCUGAGAGGGUGAUCGGCCACACUGGAACUGAGACACGGUCCAGACUCCUACGGGAGGCAGCAGUGGGGAAUAUUGGGCAAUGGGCGCAAGCCUGACCCAGCAACGCCGCGUGAGGGAAGAAGGUCUUCGGAUUGUAAACCUCUGUCCUUGGGGACGAAAAAAAUGACGGUACCCAAGGAGGAAGCUCCGGCUAACUACGUGCCAGCAGCCGCGGUAAUACGUAGGGAGCGAGCGUUGUCCGGAAUUACUGGGCGUAAAGGGUGCGUAGGCGGCGAUGUAAGUCAGAUGUGAAAUCCCCGGGCUCAACUCGGGUUCUGCAUUUGAAACUACAUUGCUUGAGUGCAGGAGAGGAAAGCGGAAUUCCUAGUGUAGCGGUGAAAUGCGUAGAUAUUAGGAAGAACACCAGUGGCGAAGGCGGCUUUCUGGACUGUAACUGACGCUGAUGCACGAAAGCGUGGGGAGCAAACAGGAUUAGAUACCCUGGUAGUCCACGCUGUAAACGAUGGAUACUAGGUGUGGGGGACAUACAACCUCUGUGCCGAAGCAAACGCAUUAAGUAUCCCGCCUGGG